GCGAAAGUGGCGGAAUUGGUAGACGCACCAGAUUUAGGUUCUGGCGGGGCAACCCUUGCGAGUUCGAGUCUCGCCUUUCGCA
rnacentral:tRNA from 1 species